rnacentral:rRNA from 1 species
UACGUAGGGGGCAAGCGUUGUCCGGAAUCAUUGGGCGUAAAGAGCGUGUAGGCGGCCAAGUAGGUCCGGUGUGAAAACUCGAGGCUUAACCUCGAGAUGUCAUCGGAAACCAUUUGGCUAGAGUCCGGAAGAGGAAAGUGGAAUUCCUGGUGUAGCGGUGAAAUGCGCAGAUAUCAGGAAGAACACCAAUGGCGAAAGCAGCUUUCUGGGACGGUACUGACGCUGAGACGCGAAAGCGUGGGGAGCGAACAGG